rnacentral:sRNA from 1 species
GCUGGGCACAGUGGCGCAUGCCUAUAAUCCCGGUGGCUUGGGAGGCUGAGGCAGGAGGAUCUUGAGUUGAAAGCCAGCCUCAGCAUGUGAGGCCCUCAGCAACUUAGUGAGACCCUGUCUCUA